CAGUGUGGCUAAAAUAAAGCAGGCAGAGGAACGUGGAAGGACUAGACUGCCUGAGUCUUCUGACCUUCAUCUUUCCCCUGUGUUGGAUGCCUCCUGCCCUCAAACAUCAGACUCCAGGUUCUUCAGCUUUUGGACUCUUGGACCUACCCCCCGAGUGGUUUGCCAGGGGCUCUCAGGCCUUCGGCUACAGACUGAGGGCUGCAUUAUCAGCUUUCCUACUUUUGAGGUUUUGGGACUUUACUGGCUUUCUUGCUCCUCAACUUGCAGAUGGCCUGUUGUGGGACCUCACCUUGUGAUCAUGUACAUGAGGGAAAUACACACCCCUCCCAGGGAUGAUGGAAGGUUAAGGUCCUAACACCUCCUGCACAUCUGAGCAGCUGCACAUUGAACCAGAUAGUCCUGGAAUGUGGGAAAACAGAGGCAGACUCAAGAGUCUGGAACAUUAUUUUAGGAUCACACAAAAAAGAUACAUAAUUUUCAUAGAAUGAUACUGAAAGCAUCUCAAAAAUAAAAUCACGAGUAUCUGCAGGUAAUGCAUCAGCAUUUUUAUUAAGCCCUCUUAUUUGAAAGUCACUGCUUUGAACUGGAUUGGAUGACCCAGUGGCUUGUGUGGGAGUUGGGCUGGAGAAGGUUGAUAGUAGGCAAGCUGGUUUUCUCCUGCUGUGAUUUUGUUACCUCUGUGGAGUGCUUUUGAUUUUUCUUAUCAACUGCAGUGACUCAGAUGGGUUGACAAUCUCUCCAAACAAAAUGUGUACUUUUUCUACCCGUGAGUUUGGCCUGGUCCCAGAAAUUCACUCUAGACAUGUAGAACUAUAUGAUAAGAGAGUUGGAAAAGAGCUCAUCUAUCUAGUCCAAAACUGUAAUGAAUUCGUGGGUCAUGAAAUCUAUUUAAUGGGUCGUGGCCAACAUUUAGAAAAUAUAGAUUAGACCAGAAAAAUAUCAGAGUUUUGCAAUCUUUCAUUUCAGCUACAUGUGUGUAUCACAGUGUGAAAUGUUUCUUGCUACCAAACAUUUUUGCAAAAUACUAAUAGUUCUAUUCCCAUAUCUGACAAAUGAAAGUAAGGAGCCCAGAAAAGUACUGUUAAGUAUUCUAUUUAGAGACACCCAGGACAUAAAUUCAAAUGUCCAGACUUCUGGUUUAGUUCUUUUUCCAUUUUGGAGAUCUGGAAUGAUACAAUAGAAGGAAUAGUGAAGGACAUAAGUUCAAGUCUGGUGCUUAAAAACUGUAUAAAGUGCAAGUUGCUUACUCCAUACCCUUCAUUAUUCUCAUUUCUAAAAUAAGGUAAAUGAAACUGUCCAUUUCCUUACUAGAUUAUUGGAAGAACUACCAAAUACAGAUAAAGCAAAAAAA
rnacentral:lncRNA from 1 species